GAUGAAGAACGCAGUGAAAUGCGAUAAGUAAUGUGAAUUGCAGAAUUCAGUGAAUCAUCGAAUCUUUGAACGCAUAUUGCGCCCGGUGGUAUUCCGCCGGGCAUGCCUAUUCGAGCGUCAUUACAACCCUCACGCCCCGCGUGGUCUUGGGCCGAGCCCCCGGGCUGGCCUCAAAUGUAGUGGCGGCGCCUCUGGGCCCUGAGCGUAGUACUACUUCCGCUACAGGGUCCCCGAGGACGCCGGCCGAACCCCAACUCUUCAAGGUUGACCUCGGAUUAGGUAGGGAUACCCGCUGAACUUAA
rnacentral:rRNA from 1 species